GUCAGAUGUGGCUGGGUGUGGCCUAAAUAUUGCCUGUUGUUUAAUGGUCGCGCAUUUUCAAAGAAACCUGAUGGACUUAAAUAAUAAUGAUAUUCGACCAUAUUAUUUCCCGCGUAUUCGUGAAUCUUGAAGAAAUAAACAAGAGUAAACCUUUAGAGGAAAACCCCCGAAAAUUUAAGGUCCUUCAGCCAUGUAGUUAAAUAUGCUACAUACAACAAAAGUGGUAGGGUCCUAAAAGAAGUCGUCCCUAAACAUUCACUUGGUAGGGUAAAAUAAUGAAGAGCAGCUGAAACACUUUGUUUUCUGGAAUCUUUUGAGGGUGAACUGGAUCUGCAUACAUGUGUCUCAUUAUUAUUCAAUGGGAAGCCUGACUCCAUCCACCUGAUAUCUGCACAGAGGACAAAAACAAAGCACUGACUGUGGGAUAGUGGAACUGCUUCUUGUAACCAACUCUCUCCCUGGACGGGAGGAAGAAGACGCUUUCACAAAUGGAAAUCUUGUGCACAGAGCGGCUUCCUGGACUGGGCUGUGGCUCUGCCUGGAAAACGGCCGCCUUCCCCUAAGUGGGAGCUUUGAUUGGAGCUCGUGUGAGUUGGCGGGAGGCAGCUGACGAGGAUCAAUCCCACCCGGAAUUGGGUUUCACAUCCUGGAAGCAGAGGCGUACACACGGGUCACUUUCAUCAAACUUGCUGUGACCAUGGUCAGUGCUAGACAAGGCCAUUGACUGACUGUGACCACGAGGAUACAUUAUGAAGAGACUGUAGAUGAAGACAAGAUGCUGUCAUGAUCUGAACUCUCAACGCUUGGCUGUUCUCAUUGAGGGAUUGAAGGAGAUAAAUAGAAAGAUGGGGAGCAACGUGAGUGAAGAGAGGAAGAAAGUGAAGAUCUAUUGCCACCAAAUCACAUUCAGUGAAUUGCGUUGUAUCGACAGAGAUUCCCUCAGUCACAGUGAAAGCAAGAAAAUUUAAAAAAAAUUGCACAGAAUUACAAAAGCAUUCACAAAAAUGUUUCCAAUUUCUGACGUUAUAAUCACAAACUUCAAUGCACUUUGUUUGGAUUUUCAUGAGAAAGAUGGACAAAGUAGUAGAUAAUUGUGAAAUGAAAGACAAUGAAUGUUUCACAAAAAAAGAGCAUUAUUCUUCUAGAAUUGUCCUGUAUUUAGCUCCUUUCUUCUACCCAUAAAUUAUGUUGAGCUUCCCUGCUGCUGCUGGAGAAUUCCCACAGCAAGAUGCACUAUCAUGUUUAGCAGUGAACUGUUGACGUCCAGUGUUGGUUGAACUAAAAACGUUUCAUUUUGACCUCAUCUGAGCAGACCGUCUUCUUCUUCGUGGCUUAAAUCAACCUGCUAAAUGGAUUUCUUUUGUUUUUCUUUCAGCAGUGCCUUUCUUGCUGCUGCUCUUCUAUAAUGGUUGGAGUGCUCAACUAAUUUUCCUCUCAAACCUGAGCUAUGGAGUUGCAGAUCCUCCACAGACACUGUUCAUUCUGGCUAUUAAUGUUCUCCUUGUUCAGCUAGAUCGCUAUGUCUAAGUAGGUUUGACGUUGCAUCAUAUACUUUCCAUUUUCAGAUGAUGCGUUGAAUGUUGCUCAGUUAAAUGUGCAACGGUUGAGGUAUUGUUUUAUCACUUAACUCAGUUUUUAAACCUACCCACAACUGUAUCCCUGGUCAAUCUGAUUUAUUCUUUAGUCUUCAUGACGCUGUUUGUUCGCUGAUGUUCUCUAAGCUAUAGCCUUCACAGAACAGCUACAUUCAAAUUGAGAAUAAAUAUGAAUGUAAAAGUCAUUUGGAUGAAAACUAAAGUAUGGACUGUCUAUAAAGUGGAGAAAAUGCUUAGUUUGUUAAGUUGUUUAAUGUGAUAACUUGUAUCUUUGUGACUUGUAUUAGUCACCAACUUGUAUUAGAUGACUAGUAGAAGUUGCUAAACUGAAUUUUAUUUGGGGGUAACGGAAUAAAUGGGACUGAAAUGCAAAUGCAUGCCCCGCUUUUGCAGAUGUUUUUGUUAUAAAAUUAUUUGAAAAUCAUACAUCAUUUCAACUCACACGACAAUGCGGCAAAAAAGUGAAAAAGGUCCGAGAGGAUGAAUACUUUUUUUAUGCCAUGAGAAAUAAAGUGACCAAGCUAACCAAGCUAAAGUAAUAAACAUAAACAGAGUAGAACUCAACUUUAUCUGUCUUUUUAUACUUUGAAAUACACUUUCUCUAAAUGGAUUACAUUUUCUUCUGUGCAUGAGUGUCUUUCUUGAGGAAAUUCUGUUUUAAUUUCUCAGAAAAUCAUUGUACUUUAGUGGAACAGGGGAUCAAAGUAAAUGGACAGUUGGUAUUCUCUUCAUGUGCAAUAAUAUUAGAAGGAACAUUUUCUAAAACUGUGUGUAAAUCAACAACAGAUAAAUCAGAGCUGUUAGACCUGAGAGUGAAAUAAACAACUGAUGUUCUU